AAUCAACGCUGGCGGCGUGCCUCAGACAUGCAAGUCGAACGAUUAAAGCUCUCUUCGGAGAGUGCAUAGAGUGGCGCACGGGUGAGUAACACGUAAGUAAUCUACCCUCGAGUGGGGAAUAACGUCCGGAAACGGGCGCUAAUACUGCAUAAUGCAGCGGCAUCAUAAGAUGACAGUUGUUAAAGAUUUAUCGCUUGAGGAGGAGCUUGCGGCAGAUUAGCUAGUUGGUAAGGUACCGGCUUACAAAGGCUACGAUCUGUAACCGGUCUUAGAGGACGGUCGGUCACACUGACACUGAAUAACGGGUCAGACUCCUACGGGAGGCAGCAGUCGGGAAUUUUGGGCAAUGGGCGAAAGCCUGACCCAGCAACGCCGCGUGAAGGAUGAAGUAUUUCGGUAUGUAAACUUCGAAAGAAUAGGAAGAAUUAAUGACGGUACUAUUUAUAAGGUCCGGCUAACUACGUGCCAGCCGCCGCGGUAAGAC
rnacentral:rRNA from 1 species